rnacentral:rRNA from 1 species
UACGAGGGGUGCAAGCGUUAUUCGGAAUGACUGGGCGUAAAGGGUGCGUAGACGGCACGUUAAGUCUUUUGUUAAAUACCUCAGCCUAACUGGGGGUCAGCGAAAGAAACUGGCGAGCUUGAGAUUGGAAGAGAGAAGUGGAAUUCUCGGAGUAGCGGUAAAAUGCGUAGAUCUCGAGAGGAACACCAAUGGCGAAGGCAGCUUCUUGGUCCAAAUCUGACGUUGAUGCACGAAAGCGUGGGGAGCAAACAGG